AUGUCCACACGCUGCAGCAGGCGCUGGACGUCGCCCCGCCGCCUCGUCUUCGCACGGCACAAGACCGUGCGGAGCAUGCUGAGCGGCAGAACCGCCUCCUCGUCGCCCAUGAGGACGAGCGGGUCAUGGCGGAGUGGCGCCAACAACACCCGGAGGACGUAUCCUACGAGCAAGCCUACUGGGCAAGGCGCCGCGAGGAGGAGACGCAAAGGCGCCGCGCUGAGCGGUUGGACAGGCGUCGGCGGAAGGUCCUGGCGCUAUCCCAGUGCGAUGUAG
rnacentral:rRNA from 1 species